AGACCCGAAACCCGGUGAUCUAGCCAUGGGCAGGUUGAAGGUUGGGUAACACUAACUGGAGGACCGAACCGACUAAUGUUGAAAAAUUAGCGGAUGACCUGUGGCUGGGGGUGAAAGGCCAAUCAAACCGGGAGAUAGCUGGUUCUCCCCGAAAGCUAUUUAGGUAGCGCCUCGUGAAUUCAUCUCCGGGGGUAGAGCACUGUUUCGGCUAGGGGGCCAUCCCGGCUUACCAACCCGAUGCAAACUGCGAAUACCGGAGAAUGUUAUCACGGGAGACACACGGCGGGUGCUAACGUCCGUCGUGAAGAGGGAAACAACCCAGACCGCCAGCUAAGGUCCCAAAGUCAUGGUUAAGUGGGAAACGAUGUGGGAAGGCCCAGACAGCCAGGAUGUUGGCUUAGAAGCAGCCAUCAUUUAAAGAAAGCGUAAUAGCUCACUGGUCGAGUCGGCCUGCGCGGAAGAUGUAACGGGGCUAAACCAUGCACCGAAGCUGCGGCAGCGAACGUAUCACCCAAGACAACUUUACGGAGUUGACGAUUGACGGAGCGAAGCGACGUCAAAGCGUUCAUUAAAGUCGAGUUGGCUUAGGGAUACGUUCGUUGGGUAGGGGAGCGUUCUGUAAGCCUGUGAAGGUGUGUCGUGAGGCAUGCUGGAGGUAUCAGAAGUGCGAAUGCUGACAUAAGUAACGAUAAAGCGGGUGAAAAGCCCGCUCGCCGGAAGACCAAGGGUUCCUGUCCAACGUUAAUCGGGGCAGGGUGAGUCGACCCCUAAGGCGAGGCCGAAAGGCGUAGUCGAUGGGAAACGGGUUAAUAUUCCCGUACUUGGUGUUACUGCGAAGGGGGGACGGAGAAGGCUAUGUUG
rnacentral:rRNA from 2 species